rnacentral:rRNA from 1 species
GACGAACGCUGGCGGCGUGCUUAACACAUGCAAGUCGAACGAAGUGGCGAACGGGUGAGUAACGCGUAAUCAACCUGCCCUUCAGAGGGGGACAACAGUUGGAAACGACUGCUAAUACCGCAUACUGAAGGAGGGGUUUGGGUCUGAUUCGUUAGUUGGGGGGGUAACGGCCCACCAAGGCGAUGAUCAGUAGCCGGGCGGAGAGGAGGAACGGCCACAUUGGGACUGGGACACGGCCCAGAGUCCUACGGGAGGCAGCAGUGGGGGAUAUUGCACAAUGGGCGAAAGCCGGAUGCAGCGACGCCGCGUGGGGGAUGAAGGCUUUCGGGUUGUAAACCUCUUUCGCUAUCGAACGGGUAGGUGGAGAAGAAGCGCCGGCUAACUACGUGCCAGCAGCCGCGGUAAUUC